CCCUUAGAUGUUCUGGGCUGCACGCGCGCUACACUGAUGCGAUCAACAAGUUUUUCCUAUGUCGAUAGACACGGGUAACCUUUUGAACUCGCAUCGUGAUGGGGAUAGAUUAUUGUAAUUAUUAAUCUUCAACGAGGAAUUCCUAGUAGGUGCAAAUCAUCAGUUUGCAUCGAUUACGUCCCUGCCCUUUGUACACACCGCCCGUCGCUGCUACCGAUUGGUUGAUCUGGUGAAUUAUUCGGACUGCCGGCUGAAGGGGUUUCCUCAUCUGCCAGCGGAAAGUCUUGUUAACCCUAUCAACUAGAGGAAGCAGAAGUCGUAACA
rnacentral:rRNA from 1 species